UAGAGUUUGAUCAUGGCUCAGAUUGAACGCUGGCGGCAGGCCUAACACAUGCAAGUCGAGCGGAAACGAUGGAAGCUUGCUUCCAGGCGUCGAGCGGCGGACGGGUGAGUAAUGCAUGGGAAUCUGCCCGAUAGUGGGGGAUAACCUGGGGAAACCCAGGCUAAUACCGCAUACGUCCUACGGGAGAAAGCAGGGGAUCUUCGGACCUUGCGCUAUCGGAUGAGCCCAUGUCGGAUUAGCUUGUUGGUGAGGUAAUGGCUCACCAAGGCGACGAUCCGUAGCUGGUCUGAGAGGAUGAUCAGCCACAUCGGGACUGAGACACGGCCCGAACUCCUACGGGAGGCAGCAGUGGGGAAUAUUGGACAAUGGGCGAAAGCCUGAUCCAGCCAUGCCGCGUGUGUGAAGAAGGCCCUCGGGUUGUAAAGCACUUUCAGUGGGGAAGAAAGCCUUGGGAUUAAUACUCCCGAGGAAGGACAUCACCCACAGAAGAAGCCG
rnacentral:rRNA from 1 species